GGGAGGAGCCGUGUCGGUGCCGCCUCGGUCCAUCAGGCCUCCUGCGGUUCUCCAUUGCCCGUCUCUCUGGAUUCACCGUCGCCACUGUGCCGCGCCUAGGACUCGGAUCCUGCCGGGAAAAUGUCAGAUGAAUUUUCGUUGGCAGAUGCGCUACCUGAACAGUCCUCUGCCAAAACGCCUGCUGUGACCAACACAAAAGCUGGCCAUUCUCCUCAGGGCUGGCCAGGCUCCAGCCCUUGGAGUAAUCCAAGCGCCCCCCCUGCAAUGCCGUCUGGACUCCCACCGAGUAGUGCAGCACCCUCUACUGUGCCUUUUGGACCAGUACCAACAGGAAUGUAUCCCUCCAUGCCUCCAGCCGGACCACCCCCAGGACCCUUUCCUCCUUCUGGACCAUCAUGUCCCCCACCUGGUGUUCCUUAUCCAGCCCCUGCUGUGCCAGGCCCUGGCCCCACAGGGCCAUACGCUACACCAAAUAUGCCCCUUCCAGAGCUACCUAGGCCAUACGGUGCGCCCACAGAUCCAGCUGCAGCUGGUACUUUAGGUCCAUGGGGAUCCAUCUCUUCUGGACCUUGGGCACCAGGAAUUGCGGGGCAGCAUCCUAAUAUGCCGUAUCGAUCUCCAGGGCCAUACCCCACUGUUCCUCCUCCAGUGUCGGGAGCACCGCCUGUUCCGUGGGGCACUGUGCCACCGGGAGCCUGGGGACCACCAGCACCAUAUCCUGGCCCCGCAGGAUCAUACCCCACGCCAGGACCCCACCCUACUCUGAAUAAUCCUUACCAAGUGCCUUCAGGACCUGCUGGUGCUCCGCCAAUGCCUGGUGGCCCCCACGCUUUGCUGAAGUAGCGACUUUUGGACUCCCACAAAGAUUGCUGAUUCUCCCCUGGGAGCUUCUUGGACAUGGAACCCGCCUGCCAACCUGAGCAUCUGAGCCCUGGAACGUGAACACUGCCCUGCUACCAGCAAGACUGUCCGCCUCUCCACCAAUCCGUGGCCAAGGUCGUCAGCCGGUGUGGGGGUCUUGCUCUUUGUGGGUCACUGGUAUUCUUGUUAGGGAACUUAACCCACCCUGUGUGGUGUGCUCCGGACGGAGUUUUAAACUCUGGUUUCUUAGGACUUCACAACUGCAUAAUUGGGGGUUACUGGGUUUAUUGUUAUUUAAUGUGAGAGUGGAAAUCAAAGAGAGUAGGUUUUCUUGUUUUGUUUUGUUUUCAGAACAUUUCUCUUGUUGCCUUAAGGGUAGGGUUUUUUGGGUUCAAGAUAGAAUCAGGAAAAGUUAAAAUAAAAUGAAUAAAAGGUAGCCAAAUGAAAUAAUCCCUGGAAAGGGUUUUCUGGGUUUGUUUUAACCUAAGACUAACACUGCUUUUAGAGCACACAGUGCGAGUGAGGCCAUGACUGGUCCUCUGAAAAGAGACAUUGUCAAUAAGUGUUUGGUCUUAAAGGAGCCCAAAUUAUACAGAAUUUGUCGACAUGGCCUCACAGUAAUUCUUAAAUAAGUACAAUAAAGAUAAUUGAAAUGUGUACAAGGCUAGUUUUUGUGAAGUUGAAGUCUUUGGUUUUGCAAUGCUCUGUUCUUUACAAAGCUUCCCCCUGCCUUGGUUUGUCUCCGUGUCAGUAGAGGUGAACAGUCUGUUUUCUCAUGACUCACCUCACGUGUGGCCUCUUCACCUAGACAGCUUUUGAAGCUAUAGGUUGGAGACAGCCCCACUUUGUUUCUGGUAAGAUAUUGCCUCAUUUUCCGUGGUUUCCUAUACUUAAACAACAGGUGCCAUGUAUGCCUCGCCCUGAGCGACUUAGAGUUAGCUUUCUCAAGUGCCAGGAUUGUACAGUCUGGAAGUUCGGUAGGCCUUUCAAUCCUUCCACCAUUUAGAGGAGCAUACGCCUGACUAAACCAGCUGCAUCAGUGCAGUGAACGCUCUGAGCUCUGCCAACUACGACAGCAGUGGACACUGGCAGUUGGGACAGAGUCUAUGCUUCUAGUGCGGACCCAUCUGAGGACUGAGCAUGUGCAUGUCUGGGGUGGAGCUCUGCUCCCUCUGCUCAAGGAGCUCCCGGGUGAGGCGCCAUUACCAGCCAUCAAGCUCUCAGUGAGGAUAGCAGACCUGUCUUGGGCAUGUUUUAAAAUGUGGCAGUUUGUUUUGUAUUUUGAAAUAGGGUCUCGCCACAUAACUGGCUAACCUUAAGCUUUUUAUAUAGCUGAAGAACUCACAAAAAACUUUGUCUCCCAAGUGCUGAGAUUAAAGGCACGUGACUGGUUUAGUAAGCUGGUUGUGUGUGCAUGUGUGUAAAUGAGUAUCUUUCAAGAGCCAAGUGUGGUGGUGGCGUAUGCAUUUGAUCCCAGCACUUGGAGGGAUCAGAUCUCCCAAGUUCAAGGACAGCCUGAUCUACAGAGAAUUACAGGACAACCAGGGUUAUGAAGGGAAAUCAAGUCUCAAAAAUAACAAUAAAAACAAACAUUGUUUCAAGAUUAUAGUGUUCAUCAGUACAACUAUUCAAGUGUACAAAGUAAAAGGCCCAGCUGCCACUGGUUGACAGACACUGACGUCAUGAAGUAGACACUACUUUUUAUAUGUGCUCUAUAAAAAGUUUUGUAAUACUUUUUUUUGAAAUUAUGAUUUUUUUUCAUUUACUGAAUAAUGUCAAAUUUGAUAUAUUUUACAGUCUAUGCAUUUUAAGUUAAGCUGCCUGAAGUGUGGUCUGAGACAUAUGUUUAUACCAUAAGCAAUGGAAGAUCUAGGUUUUGUCACCUGCUGCUGUAUUUGGAAACAAAGACAAAUGUUGCUUGAAGAAGUAAUUAUAAUUAGAAGUAGGCUAUUGUUGUGAUAAUUGAUAUUUUUAAGGUAAACUUGUUUGCUUUUGUGUGUAAUACCUGAAAGCUUUUUUAAGAAAUGUAUUUUCGUGAUUUCACAGUUUCUUUGUGUAUUUUAUUACCUGGGCCCAAUUCUAGGCUUCCCUAAACAAGUUCAGAGCUCUCUUAGCUUCCUGUUUGUAGUAAUAAAGGAAACAAGGGUCUGCAAUGCCUGUUUGUAUGUGACCUGCAUUCUCUAAGGAGCUUUACCAGGCAAAAAACCUCUUAGCACAGGAUGCCAGUACCUGUGGUUAGGACUGUCCCCAAGGCAAGGCCACCCGGGUUCUAACUAAAGUAGGGGAACCAUGCCUCUCUGCCCCUGUGUCCAUCACCCCCACUUUCUCUUCAGCAGUAACUCCUUUUGCUUUGACUGUCACAUGUACGGUAGAGUUGGUCACACUAAGUACGCCCAAUGUACUUGGUCCUGUCCUUGGGAGUUAGACAACCUCAAAAGAAUGGGCCAAGAGGGACAUUUUGGAAGAGAUUACAGCCUUGACCUUUUAAAAUAAACUUGGGGUGUUUAUGAUACUCUGUGCACCUAAAAGUGCCCACCUAAACUAAAGCUAAGAAGAAGGGAACUGAAAUGUAAGCCAAUCCUGGGGGCGGCCCAGUUGGUCGAUUGGCUUUCUCGUUGUGAAAUGGCAUCUUCUAACACACUAGGUUUCCUGACCCAGCAAAUCUU
rnacentral:lncRNA from 1 species